UAUUUAGGUGGCAAGCGUUGUCGGGAUUUACUGGGCGUAAAGGGCGCGCAGGCGGUUCGUUAAGUUCGAGGUGAAAGCUCCCGGCUCAACUGGGAGAGGUCCCCGGAUACUGGCGGACUUGAGGGAGGCAGAGGAAAGUGGAAUUCCCGGUGUAGUGGUGAUAUGCGUAGAUAUCGGGAGGAACACCAGUGGCGAAGGCGGCUUUCUGGGCCUUACCUGACGCUGAGGCGCGAAAGCGUGGGGAGCAAACAGG
rnacentral:misc_RNA from 1 species